UGGCUGCCUGAAUGCCCGAGCCGACAGGAAAUACGGACGAGGGCCAAAGGACCACAGUCCCCAAAAGGCAUCGGGAGCAACUCGGAGCCAAUUGGGAGAGAGAACGAAGGCUAAGACGGCCAAGCGGUCUGAUUCGGGCUGGGCCAGGCGCCGCAGCUCACCGACAGGAGGUGCUCGGGAGAAGUGGGAAAGCCUACGGGCUUCAAUUCUGGUGUUACAGCUCCUGCUGGGGAAACUCAGUCUUAGAAGGAAACCGAAAGUGCCCUCCGUGGAGGCGGAGGAGAAACCGGCUUAUAGAGAGAAGAGAACCGAUCCCCAUCCCCGGUUGGUCCAUUUUUAUGCAGAUGCGGGCUCCAGAUCUUCACAGUGCGAUUGGUCCCUGAUCCUUCUCUCAUGAGAGGUGCCCACUCUAGGAAAGCCAGACACCAUGAAAGAAGUCGAGACCAUCAUGAGAGAUAGAUCACGUGUAGACCCUCGGGUCCACCAUCCCAGCUGAGACCAGCCGUCCAAGCAUCCCCUGUGGGGGGUCCCUGCUGUGAGUGAAGCUGUUUUGGACCUUCCAAACCAGCCAUCCACCAGCUGACACCAUCCACAGUAGCAGAAGUCUGAAUUGUGAAGAAAGCCACACAUAUGCGUGAAGUUUGGGGAAAGAGAGAGGCACUUGCUGUGAGAGCUAUGUGGAGGCAGAGAUGACGUCCGUGGCAUCCAAUGACAUGUAUUUUUUUCUUUCUCAUCGAGGGCCUUAAGAAGUGACCCUCCUUUGGUUAUUGAGUAGCAGGAGUGCCUUGCUCCCUGUGGCAACAAGCAAGAGGAACUUUUCUUUGAGUCUGUAAUUUUAAAAAUGGAAAUAAAAUUCACCACAUUGAAGUGUC